AAGAGAAUAGCAGAGUUGUCCGUCUGUACUUUAUUUUCGGAGAAUCGGCGAAAAUCUCAAUGGGAUUUUGUUCUUGAGGAAAUGGCUUGGUUGGCAAAUGAUUUGCACAGGAGCGUCUUUGGAAGGUAGAUGCUGCUGCUCAAAUAUGUCGGCGGGUUGCUAUUACUUCUCAGCUGAGAUUCAAAAAACAAAAUCAAUUUUGGGAGCUAAAAAGAGUAGCUCACACCUUGGCAAAGGCUGUCAUGCAGUUUUGGUGUUCAGCAGAGGUUAUUUCAAAUAAUGAUAAUCCAGGUGUUGGUCAAAAGAACUGCAAGUACAGUUCGUUUGGAUCAAGGAAGGUGGAUGGAGAUGAAGUUUCUAAGGACAAGAUUGAAGGAUCUGAUACGACAAGCAAAGAAAUGGGGACACAAUAUCCCAGACAAAAUACUCCAAUUGCUGUAAUGGGAUAUGCAACUAGAUUUUUGAAAUAUAACAGCUCUCUCGUCC